ensembl:lncRNA
GUGAGCACUGCCAAUAAACACAACAUGGGACAGCGUUCAUGGGCAGCCAUCCACAUGUUUCAAGACCGUUUCAAUUCUCUCUCUCUCUCUCUCUCUCUCUCUCUCUCUCUCUCUCUCUCUCUCUCUCUCUCUCUCUCUCUCUCUCUCUCUCUCUCUCUCUCUCUCUCUCUCUCUCUCUCUCUCUCUCUCUCUCUCUCUCUCUCUCUCUCUCUCUCUCUCUCUCUCUCUCUCUCUCUCUCUCUCUCUCCCCCCUCCCCGUGUGCGUUUGUGUUCGCUCUGGUAAACAGCAUCUCCCUCUCCUCGGUUCCCUCUGCUAAACAGCAUCCGUGUGGGUUUUCAACCUCCCUGUGUUCAGCAUUGAAAUAAUUAAAGAGAUGUGUAUCCAUGCGUGUUCACAAGACUCACUUGACCCGUUGCCAAACCGGCCUAACCGCACAGAGGGGUGUCUCUUUCCGGCGUCUCGGCCGUCGCCAGGCGUGUCUGCAGGUGAGAGGGACGCGGCUCUGGUUACCACACGGGGAAAUGACGAAACCCGCUUCCUGAUUCACCAGCCAGCCAGCCUACCUACCUACCGACUUACCUGUCUUCUCGCUCAGCGCCAUCAAAACAAAACACACACACACUAAAACUAAAAGUCCCGGUUUCCAAUAUGAGGACAGCGAUGCGUCUCCUAUGAUUCGGACCACGCACUAUGAAAGGAGGGGAGUGCAAUAGAGGAGGAUACACGGGAGCAGCCUACACCUGUUAGCAUGAAGACCCAGCUGGUGAGUGCCAUACACCUACAAGAGGUCGAGCUGGACGAAAUAGAGGGGGGCAACGAUCCAGCAGAUGACAAAAGCAAUAACAAUGAGGACCCGACCUACACGGUGGAGGAGGCGGUGGAGACCAUCGGCUUCGGUCGGUUCCACGUCCUGCUCUUCGUCAUCAUGGGCAGCGCCAAC